GCACAGAUCACUAUAUACCAGUCUAAAGACAGAUAGGACAGUGCAAAAGUUAACGGUUAGUUCCGUUGUAGCCGCAUAGCGCUAGUGUCGUAAAAAGUGUUGGGACACAAUCCAACCUUAAAAUGUCGAUAUCGAUAGUAUAGUGAUGUCCCAUGACAAACGUUGAAACGGGGUAGGUAGUAGGUACCUAU